rnacentral:rRNA from 1 species
UACGUAGGGGGCGAGCGUUAUCCGGAAUUACUGGGCGUAAAGCGCACGCAGGCGGUUCGCCAAGUUUGGAGUGACAGUUGUCGGCUCAACCGACAAAGGACUUCAAAAACUGGUGAACUUGAGGACGAGAGAGGAACAUGGAACUCCAGGUGUAGUAGUGAAAUGCGUAGAUAUCUGGAAGAACACCAAUGGCGAAGGCAAUGUUCUGGCUCGUUUCUGACGCUCAGGUGCGAAAGCCAGGGAGCGAACGGG